UGGGGAAUAUUGGACAAUGGGCGAAAGCCUGAUCCAGCAACGCCGCGUGAGGGAUGACGGCCUUCGGGUUGUAAACCUCUUUCAGCGCAGACGAAGCGAAAGUGACGGUAUGCGCAGAAGAAGCACCGGCCAACUACGUGCCAGCAGCCGCGGUAAUACGUAGGGUGCGAGCGUUGUCCGGAAUUAUUGGGCGUAAAGGGCUCGUAGGCGGUCUGUUGCGUCAGGAGUGAAAACUCGGGGCUUAACCCCGAGCCUGCUUCUGAUACGGGCAGACUAGAGGUAUGCAGGGGAGAACGGAAUUCCUGGUGUAGCGGUGAAAUGCGCAGAUAUCAGGAGGAACACCGGUGGCGAAGGCGGUUCUCUGGGCAUUACCUGACGCUGAGGAGCGAAAGUGUGGGGAGCGAACAGGAUUAGAUACCCUGGUAGUCCACACCGUAAAACGUUGGGCGCUAGGUGUGGGACUCAUUCCACGAGUUCCGUGCCGCAGCUAACGCAUUAAGCGCCCCGCCU
rnacentral:rRNA from 1 species